rnacentral:lncRNA from 10 species
CCCAGUCUUCUCUGAGCACAUGGUUCUGCCUGUGAAGCAGCUCAAACCAAGACAACAGGUCCAGUGCUUGGCAGGACCAUGACUGGUGCACUGUCUUCUUGGUCAUGCUCUGAUUGGAGGAUUAUCCUUGGCCGGUGGUUCUCACCAGGAAAAGUGUGCUCUCCUGGGUCCCCUGCAAACCAACAAGGUGCCCGAAGAUGGUGUAAAAA